UCUCUCUCUCUCUCGAACUCGAUCUCGAUCCGCGAGCGGAGUUCGUCGCAGAUCCGGACCACCGCAAAUCUGGACCACCUCCACGAGCCGACCCCGCCGUUGAUAUCUCUCUCUCUCUCGAACUCGAUCUCGAUCCGUGAGCGGAGAUCGUCGCAGAUCCGGACCACCUCUGCGAGCUCUCUCUCUUCCCCAAAACUCUCCCCAAAAUUCCUCCGCGAGAUUCCUCCUCCGACGCUGCAGAAAUUUGCGAGUGGAUUGUAACAGCCGGAGCAAAGAAGAUGCCUUGAGGUGAAGGUAGAAGUGCAGUAAGCUAGCAUAUUUUGGGAAUCACCAAUUUUACCGACUGAUAGAGAAGGAAAGGAGUUUUCGUUUCUUUCCCUUGCCUGAUUUUACCGACUGGUGGAAAUUUUAUUGUAAAAGAAUGUAAAUAUUGAGUUGUAAGCUACGUUAGCUUGGGCAAGCAGUUUGAAUGUAAGGAAUAUUUAUCUUCAGUUUUAUUGUGUGCAUGUACAACAAAAUGUUCAAUGCUGUAGUUCUUCCAUGUUUCAACUUUUCAUGAGACUUGAUGUUCUA